rnacentral:lncRNA from 1 species
CCCAGUCCUGUAAUCACCUCUUAAUAUUUCUAUAUCUUCAGGGACAGCAGGAUACCUGUCACAAAGAUGGAAUUGGUCAUUCGUUGGUGGCAUGAGUAAAUGGAUUGAUGAAUGAUGGUACCCAUGUUCCUGGGAAUUAUAUUAAGCAAUUAUUGACUUUGAAAAAAAAGAAUCCCAAACAUUGCUACUAUGAUGGGCAACUGAUGGUCAGACUCCAGUGGUUCUUCAAAACUUUCUAGGAGGUAAACAAGAUGAAAGGGAAAGCACACAAAUUUGCUGGAAUUUGGAAAACACGAACCCUGGAAUUUGGAGGAGUCACUUCCACUGGAAAAUACUUUUAUAUUAUUUAUAGUAAGUAGAGAAUGCUUAAAAAUCAUUAGUAUCAUUUCAUAUGGCUGGAUAAAUAAUAAUU